rnacentral:rRNA from 1 species
GAUGAACGCUGGCGGCGUGCUUAACACAUGCAAGUCGAACGGAAAGGCCCAAGCUUGCUUGGGUACUCGAGUGGCGAACGGGUGAGUAACACGUGGGUGAUCUGCCCUGCACUUCGGGAUAAGCCUGGGAAACUGGGUCUAAUACCGGAUAGGACGAUGGUUUGGAUGCCAUUGUGGAAAGUUUUUUCGGUGUAGGAUGAGCUCGCGGCCUAUCAGCUUGUUGGUGGGGUAAUGGCCUACCAAGGCGUCGACGGGUAGCCGGCCUGAGAGGGUGUACGGCCACAUUGGGACUGAGAUACGGCCCAGACUCCUACGGGAGGCAGCAGUGGGGAAUAUUGCACAAUGGGCGCAAGCCUGAUGCAGCGACGCCGCGUGGGGGAUGACGGCCUUCGGGUUGUAAACUCCUUUCGCUAGGGACGAAGCGUUUUUGUGACGGUACCUGGAGAAGAAGCACCGGCUAACUACGUG